rnacentral:misc_RNA from 1 species
GCAGGACUAUGCACGUAAUUUAAAGCUAGACAUUGGUUUUGUUGAGAUGUCAGUUAACACAAGUCAUAGAAUGACAAUACAUAUGCUGCAACAUUAGUAUGAUGUAGGCAGCACGUAAAAACACGUAGAUGAUUUUCCAUACGAUAUCUUUUCUCAGGCUAACAACUUAGUACAAUUUCACAAGACAGAAAUAUCCAAGCCGACCUUAAGCAUAAUAGAGGUUCUACGAAAAGCUCUUCAUAAAUUCAGACAGACACUUAUGGAUCAUUCCGUGUCUCCUCGGUCUCAGUCACUCGACCAACAGACAGUCUUAUUCGCGCACAUGCAUAUCUAUUGACACUUUCAAAUUCCAUGAUUUACCAAACUAGAGUUUAGCAAAUUUGGGCUUUCUCUUCUGGCUAUGUGCUGAAAUUGCUUCUUUUAAGUCAUCUGAUAACAGGGCACCAGAAUUCCAUGUGGCAACAUAAUCCAGGCCUUGUUCCACUGUCAAAUCCCUACUUCUCAGCAACACAGCUUUUGUUCCAAUAACAGCAAGUGGAGACUUUAUUGCUAUUUCCUUAGCAACAACUUUGACACCUUCCUCCAAAGCUUCUUUAGAAGUAAAAAGCUUAGACACCAAGCCCAAAUCUUUAGCUUCAGAACCUGUAAAUCUUCGACCAGUUAAAGCCAACUCCAUAGCAUUUCCAAACCCAACAAUACUGGGAAGCCUCUGAAGUGUCCCGAGAUCAGCCGUAAUAGCUAAAUCCACCUCUUUCACUGAGAAAAAAGCAUCAGUAGAACAAUACCUAAUAUCACAGGCAGUAAUGAUAUCAAUCGCACCACCGAUACAUGCGCCAUGGACAGCAGCAAUCACCGGUUUACGGCAACACUCUAAGGCAGUAAUAGCCUCCUGAAGAAACUUGAUAUGUCGCCGGAGUCUCUCAACUUUACGGCCACAAUCAACGGCGUCGGUUUCUUUGAAGACAUCACCUAGGGUAUGGAGGUCGAUGCCGGAACAGAAGUGCUUGCCGGAGCCAGCGAGGAUGAUAACGGCGACAUCGGGGUUUUGAUCGAGUGAGGAGAUGGCUUUGGGGAAUUCAGUGAAGAAAUCUUGUGAGAGAGCGUUGAGGUGUGUGGGUCGGUUGAGAUACAGGUAAUAAACAAGAGAAUUUGGAGAUUUUUGAAUGAUUUUCAGUGAUUUGUAUUCCUCCAUUAUUUGU